rnacentral:rRNA from 1 species
UGGGGAAUAUUGGACAAUGGGGGGAACCCUGAUCCAGCCAUGCCGCGUGUGUGAAGAAGGCCUUAUGGUUGUAAAGCACUUUAAGCGAGGAGGAGGCUACUGAGACUAAUACUCUUGGAUAGUGGACGUUACUCGCAGAAUAAGCACCGGCUAACUCUGUGCCAGCAGCCGCGGUAAUACAGAGGGUGCGAGCGUUAAUCGGAUUUACUGGGCGUAAAGCGCGCGUAGGCGACUUUUUAAGUCGGAUGUGAAAUCCCCGAGCUUAACCUGGGAAUUGCAUUCGAUACUGGGAAGCUAGAGUAUGGGAGAGGAUGGUAGAAUUCCAGGUGUAGCGGUGAAAUGCGUAGAGAUCUGGAGGAAUACCGAUGGCGAAGGCAGCCAUCUGGCCUAAUACUGACGCUGAGGUACGAAAGCAUGGGGAGCAAACAGGAUUAGAUACCCUGGUAGUCCAUGCCGUAAACGAUGUCUACUAGCCGUUGGGGCCCUUGAGGCUUAGUGGCGCAGCUAACGCGAUAAGUAGACCGCCUGGGGAGUACGGUCGCAAGACUAAAGGCUUAAAUGAAUUGACGGGGUCAUAGCUGUUUCCUG